rnacentral:rRNA from 1 species
GACGUAGGGGGCAAGCGUUGUUCGGAAUUACUGGGCGUAAAGGGCUCGUAGGCGGCCAACUAAGUCAGACGUGAAACCCCUCGGCUUAACCGGGGAACUGCAUCUGAUACUGGAUGGCUUGAGUUCGGGAGAGGGAUGCGGAAUUCCAGGUGUAGCGGUGAAAUGCGUAGAUAUCUGGAGGAACACCGGUGGCGAAGGCGGCAUCCUGGACCGACACUGACGCCGAGGAGCGAAAGCCAGGGGAGCAAACGGG